GCGGCGCGAGCCCUGGGCGGCCGGCGCACGCGCGGUGCGGCGGCGCGAGCCCUGGGCGGCCGGCGCACGCGCGGUGCGGCGGCGCGAGCCCUGGGCGGCCGGCGCACGCGCGGUGCGGCGGCGGGCAAGAUGGCGGCGAGCAGGGCGGGUGUUUUGGCUGGACGGCGGCGGGCGAGGGCAGAGGCGGGCUGGAGUCGAGCAUGUGGGGGCCGCGGUGAGGCGAGGGUAGCCCACCGAAGGGGGACAUCUCGAAGAGAAGCAGCAAGACCUGGGGAUCCGGUGGUUCAUUUUGGUCGUCGCCUGUGAGGCCAGCAUGCAAGAGUAAGAGGAAGCUAGGAGCAGUCUCAAAAAGAGAUGGAACCGAGGACAGCAAAUGCUGACGAGGAGAAGAGACGGACGAGCGUUUGCUUGCGGUUAAUACCGAAGGGACGGGAUGAAACAAGGAAGCCAGAAUGCAGCGGCCCCUCGAUAUCACCAGGAACUGCUACAGGAGGAGGCGUUCUGGCACGGGUAACUAGGGUAAGUAUCGCUGAUGACCGUUAGCAGUUAUUUCGGCCUCCCCGAGGCAGCGCUGAGGACUGAGUAACCCGUUCCUACCCUGUGGCUGCUGUUGCCUGUAUCUGCCUUAGCUUUGCUUUGGCUGUUUCUGUUUUGUUUUGUUGUCGUACACGCAGCUACGGAAAGGAAUAGAUGUCAUACUUACUUUUUUAGAUUAAUUGCCACGGCUGAAGUUGAAGAGACCAAGAAACGUAAGCCCCGAAGGGGCACAUCUUGAAGAGAGGGGGCUAGACCUAGCGAUCCAGUUGUUUGUUUUGGUCGUCGCCUGUGAGGCCAGCAUGCAAGAGUAAGAGGAAGCUAGGAGCAGUCUCAAAAAGAGAUGGAACCAAGGACAGCAAAUGCUGACGAGGAGAAGAGACGGACGAGCGUUUGCUUGCGGUUAAUACCGAAGGGACGGGAUGAAACAAGGAAGCCAGAAUGCAGCGGCCCCUCGAUAUCACCAGGAACUGCUACAGGAGGAGGCGUUCUGGCACGGGUAACUAGGGUAAGUAUCGCUGAUGACCGUUAGCAGUUAUUUCGGCCUCCCCGAGGCAGCGCUGAGGACUGAGUAACCCGUUCCUACCCUGUGGCUGCUGUUGCCUGUAUCUGCCUUAGCUUUGCUUUGGCUGUUUCUGUUUUGUUUUGUUAUCGUACACGCAGCUACGGAAAGGAAUAGAUGUCAUACUUA